CGCGUGCACUGGUUCGGCCGGGCCUUUCCCUCUGGGGAACCGCAUGCCCUUCACUGGGUGUGUCGGGGAACCAGGACUUUUACUUUGAACAAAUUAGAUCGCUUAAAGAAGGCCUAUGCUCGAAUACAUUAGCAUGGAAUAAUAGAAUAGGACGUGUGGUUCUAUUUUGUUGGUUUCUAGGACCGCCGUAAUGAUUAAUAGGGACAGUCGGGGGCAUCAGUAUUCAAUUGUCAGAGGUGAAAUUCUUGGAUUUAUUGAAGACUAACUACUGCGAAAGCAUUUGCCCAAGGAUGUUUUCAUUAAUCAGGAACGAAAGUUAGGGGAUCGAAGACGAUCAGAUACCGUCGUAGUCUUAACCAUAAACUAUGCCGACUAGGGAUCGGACGAUGUUAUAUUUUGACUCGUUCGGCACCUUACACGAAAGUAAAGUUUCUGGGUUCUGGGGGGAGUAUGGUCGCAAGGCUGAAACUUAAAGAAAUUGACGGAAGGGCACCACCAGGGGUGGAGCCUGCGGCUUAAUUUGACUCAACACGGGGAAACUCACCAGGUCCAGACACAAGUAGGAUUGACAGAUUGAGAGCUCUUUCUUGAUUUUGUGGGUGGUGGUGCAUGGCCGUUCUUAGUUGGUGGAGUGAUUUGUCUGCUUAAUUGCGAUAACGAACGAGACCUUAACCUGCUAAAUAGCCCGUAUUGCUUUGGCAGUACGCUGGCUUCUUAGAGGGACUAUCGG
rnacentral:rRNA from 1 species